UCUGUGUGUGUGUGUGUGUGUGUGAGUGAGGGGGGGUGGUACCUCAGAGACUGGUUAGCGGGCGGCAUCGCUGUCUCCCCGGCGGGGGGUGAGUGAUGGUGGGGCCCGGCUGGAGGCUGCGCGGCGAGGAUGGUGUCACCGCCGCCCUGACAGCAGCUAGCUCCCACGCUAGCCUGACGGCCCAGAGCCUCGCCACCGUGACACAGAGCCAACUCGCCGACACGGAGCACGCCCCCCGCGGCUCGCGGGUGGCGGCCGUGCUGGCGCCCUGUCUGGUUGUCUUGGCGACCGUGC